GUGGAUUUCUUUGAUGUUUUUAUUAGAAAACUAAUGUGCAGACAGCCACAUCUGCGGCUGCAGCUGGCCCAGCUCCGUCCACUGCUGCUGUACCCUCUGCUGGUCGAGUGCAGCCCAAGUUAACCCUUGAAAUGUUAUUCAAACCAAACGGUUUGGUGGCUCCCUGAGGCCCAACCUCAGUAUGGCCAGGAAACUUUCUCAGGUAUGAUUCCACAUAUUGGUGAAUUAAUGUGGUAGCCAUUUUCUAAUGUUGUAUAACCCAAGUAUAAUAAUGCAUUUUAUAAGUUUGCACUCUCUUCUUCUUAAAAUGCUCAUAUUAUUCUUUUAGGCUUUUUCCAUCUCCUUUAUUGUUAUAUAUGUUUUUGUACACGUUAUAGGUUUACAAAGUGAAAAAGCCCAAAGUCUACCUCCAACAGAAAACACUCUUCACAAACUGCUCCUAACAGCUCUAUUAUAGUCCAGCCUUUAGUUCUGUGACAAACGUGCAUCACUUUGUAACACAUGUUAUAAUGCUCACCUAGCUUCUAGCAUGGCACACCCUCAUAGUCUGCUUCUGACUGGCUAGUAGUCCUUAUCUAG